rnacentral:lncRNA from 1 species
CCAUACAAAACAUUUUAUAUUAAACAUUAAAACUACAUAUUUCAAAUAAUUAAACAUUCAUCACGGAUAAAAAUAAAAAUAAAAAAAAAUCAAUAAAAAUCAAAUGUAAAUCUAGAUCCAAACCAAUGAUCAAAUGAAGAAACCCACAAUAAAAGCCAUAGCAGCGACGAGGAAGCCUUUUCUGCUACUCCACAUCAUCAAGAUUCAAGAACCCCUUCUUCUUUAAUCACAUCGACUUUCUUCCUCCCGCCGCCUUUCCGUCCAUUAGAUCUGGCGUUGUUUAGCUAAAUCUUACGAGAUCCAGGCUUAAGCGAACUAGAAAAUCGGGUAAAUGACGAUUCAUGGGAGUGGCAGCCAACGGAGGGAGUAUACAACAGAGUGAGUAUGUAACUUUUAAUCUAAAAGUUUCAAACUAUUUUGAAUUUUUUUGAAUGAAUUAACUUACAGAUCUGAAACCAUUUUCAAGUAGCCGACCUUAUCUGUGUCAAAGUUCUUUCUGUUGAACGUUUGCCCUUUGCCUGCCUUUGCUUGUUAUGUUGGUCAGUGGUCACGUAAAAUACUACAGAAGCUAGAAGUCAACCUUGCUACAGCUGCUUAGAUCUAAUUAUUACUCCUCCUGAGAGAGAAUUAGUUGUAUUUUUCCUGCUGGUCAUCGAAAGGGCGAGGCUUGUUACCUCUUAAAUUGUUUUUGCGUGCAUUUUUAAUUUAUUUUGUUUGUUUUUGACAAUUUUUUGGUGAAAAAAAGUUGUAGCUGAUGAAGAAAUGACAUAAUCUACCACUGUGUUUAAUGGUUUAAUUUUCUCUCUCCUAAAUUGGUAUUAUUUUUGUUCUCUUGUUUACAAGACUAGAAUUUGGGAGUGAGGUUGAAGAUUUUGAAAAAUGUCAGAAACACUUUGAGUACCAGCCUGAGAUGGAGGCACAGACACGCCGAUUAAAGAAGAAAUAAAAAUGCAAUCUGAUAUUUAAUUGUGAUUUGACUUUUUUAUCCUUGGAUAUUUAAUAAAUGUAAAAUUUAUUUGAAAUAAUAAUUUUUAAUUACACGUGUACAUUGAUUAGCCUAGUCAGUGGGAUCACGUCAUCAAUUUAUGACGUGGCGUGUCCAAUUGAAUGGAAUUAGAAAAAUUGAUAGUUCAAUCAUUUAAUUGACAAAGUUGAAAGGUUGAUCAUCGAAGUGGA